rnacentral:rRNA from 1 species
UGAGGAAUAUUGGUCAAUGGGCGCGAGCCUGAACCAGCCAAGUAGCGUGAAGGAUGAAGGUCCUACGGAUUGUAAACUUCUUUUAUAAGGGAAUAAAGUCAUCUACGUGUAGGUGUUUGUAUGUACCUUAUGAAUAAGCAUCGGCUAACUCCGUGCCAGCAGCCGCGGUAAUACGGAGGAUGCGAGCGUUAUCCGGAUUUAUUGGGUUUAAAGGGAGCGUAGACGGGUCGUUAAGUCAGCUGUGAAAGUUUGGGGCUCAACCUUAAAAUUGCAGUUGAUACUGGCGUCCUUGAGUACGGUUGAGGCAGGCGGAAUUCGUGGUGUAGCGGUGAAAUGCUUAGAUAUCACGAAGAACCCCGAUUGCGAAGGCAGCCUGCUAAACCGCCACUGACGUUGAGGCUCGAAAGUGUGGGUAUCAAACAGGAUUAGAUACCCUGGUAGUCCACACGGUAAACGAUGGAUACUCGCUGUUGGCGAUAGACUGUCAGCGGCUUAGCGAAAGCGUUAAGUAUCCCACCUGGGGAGUACGCCGGCAACGGUGAAACUCAAAGGAAUUGACGGGGGCCCGCACAAGCGGAGGAACAUGUGGUUUAAUUCGAUGAUACGCGAGGAACCUUACCCGGGCUUGAAUUGCAGACGAAUUGCUUGGAAACAGGCAAGCCGCAAGGCGUCUGUGAAGGUGCUGCAUGGUUGUCGUCAGCUCGUGCCGUGAGGUGUCGGCUUAAGUGCCAUAACGAGCGCAACCCUCGUGUCCAGUUACUAGCAGGUUAUGCUGAGGACUCUGGACAGACUGCCAUCGUAAGAUGUGAGAAAGGUGGGGAUGACGUCAAAUCAGCACGGCCCUUACGUCCGGGGCUACACACGUGUUACAAUGGGGGGUACAGCAGGCAGCUACCGGGCGACCGGAUGCCAAUCCCGAAAGCCUCUCUCAGUUCGGACUGGAGUCUGCAACCCGACUCCACGAAGCUGGAUUCGCUAGUAAUCGCGCAUCAGCCACGGCGCGGUGAAUACGUUCCC